rnacentral:rRNA from 1 species
AACGAACGCUGGCGGCAUGCCUAACACAUGCAAGUCGAACGAAGCCUUCGGGCUUAGUGGCGCACGGGUGCGUAACGCGUGGGAAUCUGCCCUUGGGUUCGGAAUAACAGUUAGAAAUGACUGCUAAUACCGAAUGAUGUCUUCGGACCAAAGAUUUAUCGCCCAAGGAUGAGCCCGCGUCGGAUUAGCUAGUUGGUGAGGUAAAGGCUCACCAAGGCGACGAUCCGUAGCUGGUCUGAGAGGAUGAUCAGCCACACUGGAACUGAGACACGGCCCAGACUCCUACGGGAGGCAGCAGUGGGGAAUAUUGGACAAUGGGCGAAAGCCUGAUCCAGCAAUGCCGCGUGAGUGAUGAAGGCCUUAGGGUUGUAAAGCUCUUUUACCCGGGAUGAUAAUGACAGUACCGGGAGAAUAAGCCCCGGCUAACUCCGUGCCA